AGGGUUGAGUGCAGCCAAGAAUGACUUGCCGGAAAAUAUAUAUUUCAUUACGAGCAUAUGAUUGUUUGUAACCCGACAAGUUGUUCUUGGCUACACUUGACUCUCU